rnacentral:rRNA from 1 species
UACGUAGGGUGCAAGCGUUAAUCGGAAUUACUGGGCGUAAAGCGUGCGCAGGCGGCUAUGCAAGACAGAUGUGAAAUCCCCGGGCUCAACCUGGGAACUGCAUUUGUGACUGCAUGGCUAGAGUGCGGCAGAGGGGGAUGGAAUUCCGCGUGUAGCAGUGAAAUGCGUAGAUAUGCGGAGGAACACCGAUGGCGAAGGCAAUCCCCUGGGCCUGCACUGACGCUCAUGCACGAAAGCGUGGGGGAGCAAACAGG